GACUCUCAACAACGGAUAUCUUGGCUCUCACCAUGAUGAAAAACAUGGCGAAAUGCGAUACUUUGUGUGAAUUGCCGAAUCCCGUGAAUCAUCGAGUCUUUGAAUGCAAGUUACGCCCAAGGGUGUAGGUUGAGGGCACGCCUGCCUGGGAUGCA
rnacentral:rRNA from 1 species